UCCUGUUUAGCUCAGUCGGUAGAGCGGGUGGCUGUUAACCACUAGGUCGGCGGUUCAAGUCCGUCAACAGGAGCCA
rnacentral:tRNA from 1 species